CCUUGUCAUGAUCAGUCUCCUCAGUGCUCCAAACUUCUUGCUACAAUAUAGAGAAAAGUCUCGAUCAAUCACCAACAACUCAACUGACAAAAGAUACCAUUUCUACUAAACUUAGUACCUAUUCUAUGUCAAACAAGAACGGAAAGGACGGGGAAAGCAUUGGGAGGACAGACGGAAGCGAAACUGCAAAGUUUAAUUCAAAUAAGAAUUUCUUUUCGCUAUCACUUGACUGUUUAAUUAAAAUCUUUAAGUAUUAUUUCAAGGCAGUUACUACAAAUAAAUACCUUCAAAAACUA